UCGAGCGGCAGCGCGGGGCAACCUGGCGGCGAGCGGCGAACGGGUGAGUAAUGCAUCGGAACAUGUCCAUGUCGUGGGGGAUAGCCCGGCGAAAGCCGGAUUAAUACCGCAUACGCCCGAGAGGGGAAAGUGGGGGACCGCAAGGCCUCACGCGAUUGGGUUGGCCGAUGUCCGAUUAGCUAGUUGGCGGGGUAAGAGCCCACCAAGGCGAUGAUCGGUAGCUGGUCUGAGAGGAUGAUCAGCCACACUGGGACUGAGACACGGCCCAGACUCCUACGGGAGGCAGCAGUGGGGAAUUUUGGACAAUGGGGGCAACCCUGAUCCAGCCAUUCCGCGUGAGUGAAGAAGGCCUUCGGGUUGUAAAGCUCUUUUGUCCGGAACGAAACGGUUACGGUGAAUACCCGUGACUACUGACGGUACCGGAAGAAUAAGCACCGGCUAACUACGUGCCAGCAGCCGCGGUAAUACGUAGGGUGCGAGCGUUA
rnacentral:rRNA from 1 species